GAUGAACGCUAGCUACAGGCUUAACACAUGCCAGUCGAGGGGAAACGACAUCGAAAGCUUGCUUUUGAUGGGCGUCGACCGGCGCACGGGUGAGUAACGCGUAUCCAACCUGCCCAUCACUUGGGGAUAACCUUGCGAAAGUAAGACUAAUACCCAAUGAUAUCUCUAGAAGACAUCUGAAAGAGAUUAAAGAUUUAUCGGUGAUGGAUGGGGAUGCGUCUGAUUAGCUUGUUGGCGGGGUAACGGCCCACCAAGGCAACGAUCAGUAGGGGUUCUGAGAGGAAGGUCCCCCACAUUGGAACUGAGACACGGUCCAAACUCCUACGGGAGGCAGCAGUGAGGAAUAGUGGUCAAUGGGCGAGAGCCUGAACCAGCCAAGUAGCGUGCAGGAAGACGGCCCUAUGGGUUGUAAACUGCUUUUAUAAGGGAAUAAAGUGAGAGUCGUGACUCUUUUUGUAUGUACCUUAUGAAUAAGGACCGGCUAAUUCCGUG
rnacentral:rRNA from 1 species